UACAGAGGGUGCGAGCGUUGUUCGGAAUUACUGGGCGUAAAGCGCGCGCAGGCGGAUCCUGCAAGUCCGGAGUGAAAUCUCACCGCUCAACGGUGAGGCUGCUUUGGAUACUGCGGAUCUGGAGACCGGUAGAGGCUGGUAGAAUUGCAGGUGUAGCGGUGGAAUGCGUAGAGAUCUGCAAGAAUACCCGUGGCGAAGGCGGCCAGCUGGGCCGGUUCUGACGCUGAGGUGCGAAAGCGUGGGGAGCAAACAGG
rnacentral:rRNA from 1 species